AAUCCUGUCACACCUGGGAUUUAGGUGCUUGUAACCUGAAAAAGAUGCGUAUCCAUUCAGCACUGCAGAAGAACUUGAGGAUAUCUUUCUUGAGCUCAGAACUACUUGGGAAUUUGGAGAAUUGAG
rnacentral:lncRNA from 1 species